AAUGCAGUUGCUGGGCCCCAUCCUGAGAAUUUAUAAUUUGGCAGGAAUGGGGUGGAAUGCAAGAAUUUGCAAAGGGUGAAAUUUAGUUGGAUGACAGAUGUAAAAAUGAAAGGAAAAAGGACAAAACUAAUAGAAGAAAAUGCAGGUGGUGUUGACUGAAUUCUGCCUGCUAAAAUGAUAGGUUGAAUUCCUAAGCCUUGGUUCUUGUGAAUGUGACUUUAUUUGGAAAUAAGAUCUUUGCAGAUAUAAUUAAGCCAAAACGAGGUCUAACUUGAUUAGAAUGAGCCCUACCCCAAUAGAACAGGUGUCCUUAUAAGAGUAAAAACAGAGAGAAAGACACAGACACAUGAGGAGGGCACACCAUGGCACCGGAGGCAAAGACUGAAGUGAUGCGUCUACAACAAAAAA
rnacentral:lncRNA from 1 species